CAUGUCCUUUUGAUAAUAAUUUAAGGUCUGAUCUGCUCAAUGAAGUUUAAAUUGCCGCAGUAUUUUGACUGUGCAAAGGUAGCAUAAUAAUUAGUUUUUUAAUUAAGAACUGGUAUGAAUGAUUGGACAAGAAAAUUACUGUCUCUUUUUUAAUUUUUAUUGAAUUUUAUUUUUAAGUGAAAAAGCUUAAAUUUUUAUAAAAGACGAGAAGACCCUAUAGAGUUUAAUAUUCUUAUCUAUUUAAAUAUAGAAUUUUUUUUAGUUAAGGUUUAUUUAGUUGGGGUGAUUUGAAGAUUAAAUAAAUUCUUUAAUUAAAAAAUUAGUGAUUUCUAAAAUAAAUUUCUACUAUUUGUAAGUUUAAAAUAAAUUACCUUAGGGAUAACAGCGUAAUUUUUCUUUAAAGUUCUUAUUAAAAGAAAAGUUUGCGACCUCGAUGUUGGAUUAAAAUUAAUUUUUGGUGCAAUAACUUAAAAAUUAGGUCUGUUCGACCUUUAAAAUUUUACAUGAUCUGAGUUUAAACCGGUGUAAACCAGGUUGGAUUCUAUCUUUAAAUAAUUAUUAUAUUUUAGUACGAAAGGACCAAAUAUUUAUUAAAUUAAUUG
rnacentral:rRNA from 1 species